AUUGCAUAUUAACUUAGUAUUUCCCCGACUUGGAAUAUGGAUUUUGGUGCUAAUGCCCGACUUUUGUUCUUGCUGGUAAUUUCAUUAUUGAUGCUGUUGGAAACUAUAGAUAUGGUUGCAUGUCAACGAGGAGGAGAAAUGGGAUUCGAAGAACAGUUGGAGAUGAAAGAAUAUUGGGAGAAAGUUUUCGAAACAUAAUGAGGAAUUUCCCGCGGAAUUCUGAACAGACAAGGAAUUCUACUAUAUCCAAUGCUAUUCAUAUAAUAUAAACUAGAUCUAACAUGUAUCCACAUCAUAUCGUAUAAAAAUAAAACUGAAUUGUAAUAAA